rnacentral:rRNA from 1 species
CCAUUGAUACUGCUAAACUUGAAUUAUUAGGAAGUAACUAGAAUAUGUAGUGUAGCGGUGAAAUGCUUAGAGAUUACAUGGAAUACCAAUUGCGAAGGCAGGUUACUACUAAUUGAUUGACGCUGAUGGACGAAAGCGUGGGUAGCGAACAGGAUUAGAUACCCUGGUAGUCCACGCCGUAAACGAUGGAUACUAGCUGUUGGGAGCAAUCUCAGUGGCUAAGCGAAAGUGAUAAGUAUCCCACCUGGGGAGUACGUUCGCAAGAAUGAAACUCAAAGGAAUUGACGGGGGCCCGCACAAGCGGUGGAGCAUGUGGUUUAAUUCGAUGAUACGCGAGGAACCUUACCAAGGCUUAAAUGUAGUUUGACCGAUUUGGAAACAGAUUUUUCGCAAGACAAAUUACAAGGUGCUGCAUGGUUGUCGUCAGCUCGUGCCGUGAG